rnacentral:tRNA from 1 species
GGAAGGACAAGCCAAUAGGUGGUGGCCGCAGUCUUGAAAACUGUUAGGAGAUAAUGACUCGUGUGGGUUCGAUUCCCACUCCUUCCG